GGAUGCUGUCGGACAGGACGCACUCUUCCCUGAUACUGAAGGGCGAGGCUGACGAGCAGAGGCGGGGCCCCACCCCCACCCCCACCCCGGAAUCGCAAGCGCACAGGAGGUUGAGAGUGAGGCUGCCGGUAGCUCGAUCACGACCCACGGCUGUGGAGGGAGUUCGCUGGCUCACCUGGGCCGAGGUGCGCACAGCAAAUCCACGGCACCUGUGUUGAGACCUAUGCCAUCUGAGACCUGGGAAGGAGUUCCAACACUAGUUUCGUGGCUUAAAAGGAUGUUUAUUAAGAUUUCGGGCUGCCAACGUGACGUCACUGCACCGCUGGGAGAGCCGCAGAAACCGAACGGACACGAGGGAGGGCAAUGACCCGGAGAGCAGAGAUAGAGUCAAACGAUAGUAAGAGAGGAACCGCGUACUUACCACCUUCGUUUUUAAUGUAAUGUAUUUAAUUGUAAGUUUGUAUCAUUAAAAUUUGAAGAAUGGCUGUAGCAGCUGGCUGCCCAAAUUCCUGAAGAUGUAGCGAGCCGCUGUGGCAAGCUGACCCCGGCCCAGCCCUCCCUGCUGCUCCCCGGCGCCUCCUCUUAUCACCGUGGGUCGGUUCUGCCUGUUAGCGCUUCACACAAAUGGGGCCCUGCGGCGUGGAGCCUUCUCUGUGGCUCCUUCCCCGGACACCUGAGAGGACCACAGGGACUUACCAGCGCUCGGCCGUCCCGCUGUCGGUGAACCCUCGGUGUGUGUCCAGCUUCGGCAACCAUGGACGUGGCUGGAUGUGCAGUCGCUCUGUGGUGCCUCGCUUCGGUCCUAGCCCGGCUUCGCUUCUGAGAACACACUGCGCCAGGACCGUUCUCUCUCCGGACGCACGCACGCCCCAAGCCUCUUCCCAACGGUAACGAUACACGACGGUUUCUCACAAAGUUCUCAUUUGUGUAAGAUGUUAUCUUGGGGUCUGAUUUUUACUAUCUUUCUGUUUAUAUUUUAAGUGGGCUCCAUGACCAGCGUGGAGCCCAUCGUGGGGCUCGAACUCAAGACCCUGAAAUCACGACCUGCGCCGAAAUCAAAAGAGUCGGAUGCUUAACCGACCGAGCCACCCAGGCGCCCCAAUCUUAAGGUCUUACUAGUGAGAAAUGGUUGUCUCAGUCAAAACCAAAACUGAAAAAACUGCGCAUUUCAGGAAGAUGCUCACUGGCCAGCAUAGCUCUCGAGACUUACCAUCCUCAUUCUUGCUUGUUAUUUGGCCAAAAUCCUCAGACGUCCUGUUACCGGUGCGGGAAGGCUUACCACUAGACUCGUACGGUGUCCGCGGGGUAACGUGAAGGACAGCCGUGUUCAUGCGUCUGCUACAGCCGUGGGCUCCUGCAGACCUGGGAAAGGCCAGUGACUGACACUCCAAGAGGUGACAAGCAACAGGCGCGUGGACUAGAGAACCUUGACCAAAGGUGCGUUGUGUGACAAGCACACAUUUCUCUGAGAGCCAAGUCCAGCAGAGGCACGCUUCUUCGUGCGAGGACUUAAUCAUUAAGCCGGCGGGCGCCACAGAGGGGGUUUCACCACGGCCGAUGUGCCCUGGGCCACGUGAUGCACGGAACACUGCGAGACGGGGCGCCCGUUCUGUGGAUGAAGACAUGGAGCUUCUUGCAGCCUAAAGCCCCCCCCACCCCCGCCGGACUUUGAAUCAAGUCUGACUCCGGCGUCCGGACAGACCACCUCUGCCUCGCGGCCCUCCGCUUUGCCCUCAGUACCCAGAACAAGCAAGACCUAAGAGACGACAUGCACACAGGGGCAGAAAGUCUCAUGUGGCCGAGUGCCGGCAGGAGGGACCCCAGCUGUCCAGGGUCUGCUUCGGGGGGUGCACGGGCGCAGCCACCCGGGGCAUCCCCCAGCUGAGCUGUUGGUGCCCAGGAGCGGGGCGAGGCUCCACGGGCCAGGGGCAGAGGGGAGUGGUCUUCCCGUCCCUGGGGCUGCAAACACUCGGAUGCAGGGAACUCGCUGAGGCUCGGUGAGGCCAGGAAGUCACGGGCAGCUCCCGUCAAUUCGCGCCUUCCCAGGAGUGGGCUACUGAGCACAACAGGAAAACGCGCACCUUCCCCAGCAGCGGCCCCUCAGGUCAGGCGCCCCCUGUCCAGGGAGCGCACGGGGGCUGCGUGUCCGGGCCAUCUGCCCAUCCACCCGUCUGUCCCCCAGGAGCCACUCCCAAGGACCACACGGAGCCCCGGGCUCAUUUCUGUAAUAUAUAAUUUUAUUUCUGGUUAUAGAAACAAAUGCUAAGAGGAGAAACCGAACUUCCCCAUCCACAUACAACAAUUUAAUAAAAGGACAGUUAAAUGAAAAACAAAAAGUAGAAAUUUUUAAACUUUGUUAUAGCUUUAAAACAUUAAUGUCUGAUACAAUUAGAAAUCACAUUCAGAUCUCAAACUUU